GGUUCUAUUGUGUAAUGGUGAGCACUCUGGACUCUGAAUCCAGAGAUAAUGAGAAAUAUUUUGAGCUU
rnacentral:tRNA from 1 species